rnacentral:rRNA from 1 species
ACGAACGCUGGCGGCGUGCUUAACACAUGCAAGUCGAACGCUGAAGACCUGGCUUUUGUUGGGUUGGAUGAGUGGCGAACGGGUGAGUAACACGUGAGUAACCUGCCCUCUUCUUUGGGAUAACGCCCGGAAACGGGUGCUAAUACUGGAUAUUCACUGGCCUUCGCAUGGGGGUUGGUGGAAAGGUUUGUUCUGGUGGGGGAUGGGCUCGCGGCCUAUCAGCUUGUUGGUGGGGUGAUGGCCUACCAAGGCUUUGACGGGUAGCCGGCCUGAGAGGGUGACCGGUCACAUUGGGACUGGGAUACGGCCCAGACUCCUACGGGAGGCAGCAGUGGGGAAUAUUGCACAAAGGGCGAAAGCAUGAUGCAGCGGCGCCGCGUGAGGGAUGGAGGCCUUCGGGUUGUAAACCUCUUUCGCUAAUGGUCAAGCCGCAACUGUGGGUUGUGGUGAGGGUAGUGGGUAAAGAAGCGCCGGCUAACUACGUG